GCCGGGAGUCGGGCGGACGGGCGCGUCGCCAACCCGGUCAGGUCCGGAAGGAAGCAGCCGUAACGAUUUUCGCACGGGUCGUUCCGGCUCCCACCCUC
rnacentral:SRP_RNA from 1 species